GCAGGGAAGUAGUCGAAGGGCGACUCUCAGCUGUCGAGAGAGGGACAUCGGUCUCGUCGGAUAACACGACGCCAGAUCUUCGUACGCCGGCGCAUUGAUGGCUUGCAAUCCACUCAUAACUUGAAAUAUCUGGAGGAGACAUGUUUGAAGCAAUUCCUCCUGCUGAUGGAAUUAUAUUAAAAUGGAUAUUACACGAUUGGAAUGAUGAAGAGUGUAAAAAUAUACUUGAGCGUUGUAAAGAGUCAAUUAUGAGAAGUGAUAAAAGAGGUGGUAAGGUGAUAAUAAUAGAUAUUGUCAUGGACAAUCAAAAGAAAGAUAUAGAGUUCAUCCAAACACAACUCUUGUUUGAUAUACUAAUGAUGACCUGUCUUACCGGAAAGGAGAGAACUGAGAAAGAAUGGGCUAAACUCUUCUUUCUUGCUGGAUUCAGUCAUUAUAAGAUUGUUCCCAUACUAGGUACAAGAUCAAUAAUCGAACUUUAUUUUUAGUAUUUACUUAUCUACAAUAUAUAUUUAUGUCAAUAUGCACAUUGUACAUCUUUACAUAUUG